rnacentral:rRNA from 1 species
UGCAUGCCAUGGUGUCGUCAGCUCGUCCCGUGAGGUGUCGGCUUAAGUGCCAUAACGAGCGCAACCCCUUUUCAUCCAGUUGCCCAUCACGUGAUGGUGGGCACCUCUGGUGAUACAGACAACAGUAAGGUGUGAGGAAGGUGGGGAUGACGUCAAAUCAGCACGGCCCUUACCGUCCGGGGCUACACACGUGUUACAAUGGGGCAUACAGAAGGCGGGACCAUGGCAACAUGGUUCAAAUCUUAACAGUGCCUCCCUCAGUUCGGAUUGGGGUCUGCAACCCGACCCCAUGAAGCUGGAUUCGCUAGUAAUCGCGGCAUCAGCCAUGGCGCGGUGAGAUGACGUUCC